UAAAGUGUCUCCUACCUCAGCAGAAAAGUUAUCAUGGGAGACAAUGUCAACUUUAUGGAGGGGGGAGGGCCCAUUCAGUGCCUCAGUCCCCGCCUGUGAGAGCUGCUGCCUCUCUUUUAUGUGUCAGCGCUGCAGAUGCUGAUGUCCUCCCUCCCAAAUGCUGCUUUGUCAGCUGGCGCUGUCACACAGCCCUGGAUCUCUCUCUGCCUCUCACUGCCUUCCUCUCCGUGCCAGGGCACCCAGGGACCUGUCUCCUUCCUUGCAAGGAGGUUUGCCUCUCUUCCUGCCUACAUGUCCUCCACCACACUCAUGGUUUGGAGAGGAUCCAGGACUGGUCCCACUCCAUGAAGGAAUGUUUGUGCUGUGACACAGGUGACACAGGCAGGCCAUGAUGCGUGGGCAGGAGCAGGCCAUGAUGGGGACAUCCACCCGAUACAGCACUGCAGAGGGACUUUGGCUGCUGCACCACCAGGAACACAGCUCUGCUGGGUCCUCUGAGGGCAUCUGGAAGCGCUCUGGGUCCCUGUUGCCGUAUUUCCCUGCACACUGCCUGCAUCAGUGGGUUGUGAAAGCACGUUUGUCCCAGUGCUGAGUCCCGUCCAUCCAUCCUCCAACGGAGAACCACACGUUGUUGGGUCAAGAGCGGGCAGCAAUGGGCAACAACAGCGGUGGUGGUUUUUGUUGUUGUUUCCCCAGAUCGCUGUGCAAUAUAUUCCAAUUUUUUUUCUUGUCAUUAAGCCAGUGCCUCGGAGAUGAUGAUGUAGUCCCUAUGUGGGCCGCAGAAAGCACUUCGAGCCGUGCUGGAGUCGUGCUGGGUGGCUCUGAUAGCAGAGCUAAUGGGAGCGAAUGGGAUGCAACGAACUGUUCUAAUGACACCAGCCAGGGAAGAGACAACAUGCCAAGAGCCAGCUUCUCAGAACGGAUGUUGAAAACCAAGCAUGGCUGGCUGUACAGGACUACUGCCCUGGGAUGAAGCAGGAAUAACUGGAGGUUCCUCCAAUGAUGCCAGUGGAGUGAUAUUGCAAAAGAGUCCCUGCUGGUGGUUUGGGCCUCUUCUGUGGAGUGAGGGUUUGUGCCCUGUCAUCUCCACCUUGCAGAUGAGGAAGCUGAAGCAUGGAGUGGAGCCUUCACCAUCUUCCAUAACAAGCCUCCUAAUGACAGACACGGGUCUCUGGGCAGUGAAUCAACAACCACACGUGGAAGUGAGCAAGUGCCAGAUACAAAUAUCGACGUUCCCCUGACAGACACCUCCGUGCUGGGCCUGGGUGAGGGCUGGAGCAGACACUGGGCCCGGGCCUCCCAGCAGGAUUUCCAUCUGCCGGCACAGCUGAAGGUCUGCCCUUGUUUUCUAUCUGGGCCCCAAGGAGAGCUGGUGGCAGUGGUGGUGAUUUGAUGAUGUUGGAAAGGUGCUGGUGGUGCUGCCAGAUAUCAUCAGCACGUGUGGGGUAAACAGAUGCAUCUCACCUCAUCAUCGAUAAAAACCAUGCUAUAAAAAUCUGACUGAAACGUGGUUUUUCCCACAUGAACUUUAAAAUGUUUUCAGUUUGGAAAGCGUGAAGGCAAUUCCUUAACAACGAGUUUCUAUGAGAACACAUUGCAAAUUACAUAUCCCAUUAAAAAAUA